rnacentral:tRNA from 1 species
GUCGCGAUGGCUCAAUGGGUAGAGCAGCCGCCUCGUAAGCGGCAGGUUGUCGGUUCGACUCCGACUCGCGGCU